rnacentral:rRNA from 1 species
CCCUUAGAUGUUCUGGGCUGCACGCGCGCUACACUGAUGCGCUCAACGAGUUUUAACCUUGCCUGGAAAGGUUGGGUAAUCUUUUUAAAACGCAUCGUGAUGGGGAUAGAUUAUUGCAAUUAUUAAUCUUCAACGAGGAAUUCCUAGUAAGCGCGAGUCAUCAGCUCGUGCUGAUUACGUCCCUGCCCUUUGUACACACCGCCCGUCGCUACUACCGAUUGAGUGAUCCGGUGAAUAAUUCGGACUGCGGCAUUGACCGGUUCCCGAUCGUUGCUGCGGAAAGUUUAGUGAACCUUAUCACUUAGAGGAAGGAGAAGUCGUAACA